ACGAAGGGGGCAAGCGUUGCUCGGAAUUACUGGGCGUAAAGGGCGUGUAGGCGGUUAAAAUAGUCAGAUGUGAAAUCCCAAGGCUUAACCUUGGAACUGCAUUUGAUACAUUUCAACUAGAGUGCGAGAGAGGAUUGUGGAAUUUCCAGUGUAGAGGUGAAAUUCGUAGAUAUUGGAAAGAACACCAGUUGCGAAGGCGACAAUCUGGCUCGAUACUGACGCUGAGGCGCGAAAGCGUGGGGAGCAAACAGG
rnacentral:rRNA from 1 species